AUUGAACGCUGGCGGCAUGCUUUACACAUACAAGUCGAACGGUAACAGGUCUUCGGAUGCUGACGAGUGGCGAACGGGUGAGUAAUGUAUCGGAACGUGCCCAGUAGUGGGGGAUAACUACUCGAAAGAGUGGCUAAUACCGCAUGAGAACUGAGGUUGAAAGCGGGGGACCUUCGGGCCUCGCGCUACUGGAGCGGCCGAUAUCAGAUUAGGUAGUUGGUGGGGUAAAGGCCUACCAAGCCGACGAUCUGUAGCUGGUCUGAGAGGACGACCAGCCACACUGGGACUGAGACACGGCCCAGACUCCUACGGGAGGCAGCAGUGGGGAAUUUUGGACAAUGGACGCAAGUCUGAUCCAGCAAUGCCGCGUGCAGGACGAAGGCCUUCGGUUGUAACUGCUUUGUACAGACGAAAAGGUUACUCUAAUACAAGAGGCUUAUGACGGUACUGUAAGAAUAAGCACCGGCUAACUACGUGCCAGCAGCCGCGGU
rnacentral:rRNA from 1 species